UCCUUGGCAAAUGCUUUCGCAGUAGUUAGUCUUCAAUAAAUCCAAGAAUUUCACCUCUGACAAUUGAAUACUAAUGCCCCCAACUAUCCCUAUUAAUCAUUACGUCGAUCCUAGAAACCAACAAAAUAAGAUCAAACGUCCUAUUUCAUUAUUCCAUGCUAAUGUAUUCAAGCGUUUGCCUGCUUUAAACACUCUAAUUUUUUCAAAGUAACAGUCCUGAUUCCCCGCAACACCAAAUUAAUGGCAUUACGGUUCUUCAAGAGGGAGGGACCACCAAGGCAAGUACAUACCAGUGGCACGACCAACCUGAUGAUCCCGAAAUUCAACUACGAGCUUUUUAACUGCAACAACUUUAAUAUACGCUAUUGGAG
rnacentral:rRNA from 1 species